UUUUGAGUUCAAAAUUAGUUGAUGAUGAAUAAAUUAGUCCAUGCCAUGUAUUGUACUAGAUUUUGACCCGCGGUAUACCGCGGGGCUAGGUUUUUAAUAAAAUUUGUUAUAUAAAAUGUAUAUGUAGAUAUUUGUUUUAUUAAUAUUGUUUGUUUUGUUUAGUGUUUAAGAUAAUGUAUAUAUAGAUUUUAAUUGUUAUAUCUAGGAUUUCAUCCGUAAUAUAUCGUUUCGUAUUAUUAUCGAUCAAAAUCCGUCGUACCAUCUAAUCCUGCACAAUGAAAUUAAACAUAUCUAAUGGAUUUCACUUGUGGUAUACCGUCUCGUAAUACUAUCGACCAAACCCGUCCUACCACUAACCCCGUUCAGUAAAAUUAGACAUUAUUUUGUUAUUUUUGUUUUAAUAAUACUUUAAUUUAAAAAAUAUUUAAUUCAAAUCAAUUUAAAAGUUUUCUUUCAAAUAGUUAUUUAAUUGUUAUAAAG
rnacentral:sRNA from 1 species